UAUACUCUGUCUGUCACCAGGCCUCGACGAGUCUCCCCCUGGUGGCUGACCUGCUGUACGCCACACCCACUAGUAGUCCAGUACUGUAUCAGUGGUUUGAUAUAGCCUUCUGUAGCGAGCCCAAAAUUAACUUCUUACCUAUAGGUCUACAUCAUCAUCCUCUGUCUGCAUCCUAAUCCCUACCUGUAGUCUACCUACCUCUGGUAUAAUGCAUUUCCACCUCUCACUCCAUCAGUGUUGCUUGUCCAUCUUCCUGAAUUAAAAGAUGAACAGAUCAAUAUUGCUGCAUAACGUCAUUAAAUAUUGCUAAGUUAUUUAUCUAUAGUGUGGAUGUAGGGCUGGUUUUAGUAUAUAAUGAGCACCCAGAUGCUGCGUAGGCAACACAAUAAUAUCAGACAGACAAACUGGCCCUGCUGCCUCCGCGUUGGCUACUAUGUUGCAAUAUGAAUAUUCUCAGAGUUGUCUUGUUGAUACUAAAUGUUUCAGUUUCUCCGAGCCGCCUCGUUCAUUUAUACAAUGUUUCAAUAUUAUCAGAGCCACCUUGUUGAUGCAAUGCUUCAGUAUUCACCGAAUGUUUCCUUUCCCUGGUGAAUAAUGCAGACAGGCAAAUACAAAAUGAGCUGGGUGCAGACAUCAUAAGGAACAUCUCUGAAUGCAGAGCAACAAUUUUGUUGGGAAGCACAUGAGACAAUGACACUGUCAUAAUACACAAUAGGAACCGCUCCACAAGGGUGACUUCAUAUACAUUAUAGCAGGGGGUCGACGACGUUUUUCAAUGUACAAAUGAUCCUCCCAUUUCUAAAGAUCUGUGUGCCUGUAUAACGCCCCACCCAGCGGACUGUCGACCAAUCACGUUCAUGUUGUCAUGCUGCGUCACGCGGUUGCUAAACCAAUCGUCACGUAAUAUCUUCUCAAAGUCAGUGUACUUUAUGUCGAGAAACUGCCUAUUUUCAUCAAAAGUACGUACUUUCACGAUUCCAAAGCUAUACGAUACUACAGAUAGCAAGUUAAUUAUCUUACAUCUCCGAAAAUAUCAGUAAUCUUGUACUUCUUUUUGACAAAAUUCAUGAUAAUGUUGUAUUUUUGAUCUAGAGCCCAAUAGACUCCCAUUCAAACCUUGAAAGAGCCUCUCCUUGUCCCAGAAUCACCCAGAAUGCACCGCGCCGCAUAUUGACAUAGCAAGGGCACCGUUUCCCAUCUCCGCAAAAGUAUUUCUGAAGUUGUGAAUGUUAGAUUCCACUCUGUGAGACACAUCGAUCUGCAGGUUGAAUAUGUUUACAGGCCAAACUGAUCGGACGUUACAGAUUUCCACACGGCCGCAGAAAUGAUCUCCAGGCUCAAAGCGUCAGUCCACCAGGUAGGUAGAGUAUAAAUCUACAGUGACUAUAACAGUUCAAUAUUAGUCAACUUUAUUAUCCCAC